rnacentral:sRNA from 1 species
UUUUGCGGGAAGAGGAGCCGCUGUACCUGCAGUGCUGCUUUUCUUGCCUAGACUCUAGGAACUAUCCGAGCUCCACUCCCCACAACAUACUCAAAGGAACGGAGAGAACCAGGACCCCCCUGCGGGGACCCGGAACUGAUCUGACAGGAUGGCAUCUGAUGACUUUGACAUAGUGAUUGAGGCCAUGCUGGAAGCUCCCUAUAAAAAAGAAGAGGAAGAAGAGGAGUCGGAGCCAUAGUAAAAGCAGGGAUAGAAAGCGCAGUCGUAGUCGAGAUCGGGAUCGGUAUAGACGGAGAAAUAGUCGGAGCCGAAGUCGAGGUCGGCAGCGUCGUCACCGUAGCCGUAGCUGGGAUCGUCGACAUAGUAGUGAGUCGCGAAGUCGGGACCAUCGUCGUGAGGAUCGUGUGCAUUACAGGAGUCCUCCACUUGCCACUGGGGAGCCAAUUGAUAAUCUGAGUCCUGAGGAGCGUGAUGCCCGCACAGUUUUCUGUAUGCAGUUAGCUGCCCGAAUUCGGCCUCGAGAUCUGGAGGACUUUUUCUCUGCUGUAGGCAAGGU